UGCCCCGUAGCUUAAUUGGUAAAGCACCGGACUUUGACUCCGGGAACCCUGGUUCGAAUCCAGGCGGGGCGGCCA
rnacentral:tRNA from 2 species